CUUGAUCUCUAAAUCAGGUGGGGCAACUGAGGAUUUCAAGAUAAAGUCCCUUCGGCAGGUGGCCUGUGUCUCAUCCGGCCCUGGGGUUUGGGGCAGCGACUCAAGCCCGAGGGCAGGGGUGGGAGAGCGGUUCAGGAGGGAACAUCUUAGAAUAUAUUUUUCAGAAUCUGCCCUCAUGCUACACAAAAUCCCUCCCGCCGCUACCACUGGGGCAAAGAAGCCUUGGAAUGUUCUUCCAGUCCCACUCUUUGCUUACUGUCUGGUCCUAGGCUGCGAUGCUUUGGAUGUAAGACGACCCUAAUUAGGCGAGAGGAAAUUUCAUCCUAGAAGGUUAAGAGAAAUCUUGAUAAGUCUUUGAACCAAAUCUCCUUGGAAAGUUGAACCUGAUUUAUAGACACAUGCUGCGAUAUGCCUAUAUAGACAUAUAUGUUAUAAAGAAUUACUUCGAGACAACUUUUAUGGUGUUCACCGGGGGUAAGGGAUGAAUGUGUCCUCGAGUGUGCGAAUACUCGAUGUUUUUGUGCCACAUAAGCCCUACACGUGCGAGUGUCUUUUGCCCCUCUCUCUCCUAAUCCUCUGAGAAAUCUCCGAAGUUCCCUAGUUGGUUCAAAGUUACCUAAACCUGCAGCGCACCCCCAAAUGACAAAGACUCCUCUGUGUCCCUCUCCUUCUCGCUCCCAAACCCCCUUGCGGAGUCUGAGGAGGUCAGGAGGGUUUGGGAGGAGAAAGGGGUCGAGGGAGGGAAAAAGUGUAGGAGGGAUAGACCGAGAAGGGGAGGGGGAGGAGCUCUCUCCUUCCUAGGGAAAACCCCCCGCCCCCACUUCACCUCUCAACCCCACCCUUCAAAAAAUCAAUACCCUAAACCUAAACCCACUGGGAUGCGCCCAAGUCCACCCGACGUAUAGGGAAUCGACAGCCCCCCUCCCUUCUUUCACGUCCCCCUCCCUCUCGUUCCUCCUCCCCCCUCCCAGCACGGGCUCCUACAUUAAACCUUUGAUCACGCACAGAAAGAAUGUGCUACUAUCCCCGCGCUGCCGCCGCCGCCGCCGCCGCCGCGCCGGAGCCCGAGCCCGAGCCCGAGCCCGAACCCGCGGGCCCUUCCGGAACGCCGGCGCCGCCUCUCGGAACGCACGGGCCCGGGGCGGCUCCGCGGCUGCCGGGCCAGGCUCUUAGCGCACCCGGAGCCGCCUCGUUUGCUUCGGCGGCCGCCACCUCCCCGCGGCUUCCCGGGUCUCUCCUUGGCUCUUGACGCAGUCUGGAGCUGCAGCCGGGUUUCCUCUCCUCUCCUCUCCGCUCUCUCCUCUCCCAGUCUCAGGCCAAGCCCAGCCCGGCCCCGGGAGGGGGGGGGGGGGAGGGAGAUUUGUCUUGGAGCAACCUGCCACCCGAGCUCGGGGAGGAGGAAGAGGAGGAGGAAGGAGGGGAAGCCGUCGCCGCCACCAACACAGCCGCCACCUGCCACCGCUUCCCGCUGCCUCUGCUGGGGAUCUCAGCGCGCGCUCUCCGGGAGCUGUACCCCACCCCCUCCCGUAGCCCGCCCCAGGACACCCCGGGUUCAGACACUGACUCGAGUGGGAGCCCCGGGGCAGAGCGGCGGCUCUCUCCUCGCCCGCGUCGAGGGAGAAGGAGCGAGUGAUCGAACGCAAGCCACGUAG
ensembl:lncRNA